rnacentral:sRNA from 1 species
GAACAUAUUAUUUUAGUCGAGUGGUUAUGAGAGAGAUUACCAUCAUCAUCGAUUCAAAAUCGAUUAUCAUCUCCAAAAUUUUUUUUGAUUUUUUUUCU